rnacentral:ncRNA from 1 species
UACCUGGUUGAUCCUGCCAGUAGUCAUAUGCUUGUCUCACAAGUUUAAGCCAUGCAUGUGUAAGCACACACUGUUUUAAAAGUGAAGCCGCGAAUGGCUCAUUACAACAGCCCCUUUUAUUAGAACUUACAAUCAUGGAUAACUGUGGUAAUUCUCUGCUAAUACACGCACAAAAACUUCAACUGAAUUGGUGAA